UGGAAACGGGGUGGCAACUCUCAAACUGAUAGCUGCAACACUGCCUCUCUAGCUGCUGUUUUCACCGUUUUCAGGAGUAACACUUCUACAGCAGAAGAGAAGCUCCAAGAUAUCAAAAUUUCUGAAGGAAGCUGCUGACAGAGAUGUGGGAAACAUAGGUUUCCCAUCCCAGUGUUACUACAGCUUGGAUCCAGCCUCAAUUGUGGUUACUUCAGAUGAAGACCCCAGAUGAUGGCAACUAUAGAUGAACAUACCAACCUGACAAAUGUUAUGUAUUGCAAUCAUUGCCUUAAAGCAUACGUUGAGUGAUUUUCAACCCACUUUGUAUUGUUACUAUGAUGGUAAUAUAUGUGAACGAACAAUGUUUAAUCUUUCUCUGAGUUCCAUGAGAUAUUCCCAUUUAUUUGUCAGCCAAAUAAUAUUUUGCAUUAUCCGAAUAUUGUUUAUUUACAUAUUACAGACUUUGUGGCAGUAUAAAGUGGAUUUAAAUUCACCAAACUUACCCUUUAACGUUUGUAUGUUUAACUGAACAUGACUUUGAACACAUAACUUGUAUUAUCUUAGAGUUAUUGACAUAUAGACAUUAAUUUGUUGCCAGAAGAUGCUCCCCAUUGAGUCACAGUCACCUCAGGCUGUUGAUAGGAAUUUUUUUUUUUUGAAACUUUGAAAUUUUCUAAAGCUGCUUUGAUUGUGAAAAGCAGUGUACCCUUACAACAGUUAACCAUGUUUUACUAUGGUAAAACUAGUAAUCAUAACUGUAGUAAUCAGGGUUUUUUUUUGUUUUUCUCAAACUAAGGUUUUGAUAUCAUGUUCUACUAAAGUAAUAUUUUAGUAAUGCUGGAGUAAAACUGUGGUAACCAUAGUUUUUGAAACCAUGAAGUUUGUAGUUACUAUAGGUUUACUACUAUGCUGUAGUAAGACCAUGGUUAUGGUUGUUACUGUGAAUUUACUACAACAAUCAUAGUUAAACCAUGGUUAAUUUUGUGGUUGACUUUUGUACUGGUACAAAUAUGUGAAUUGAAUGCUUCUAUUUGAAAGUCACAUUGGAUAAAACCAUCUGAUAAAUAUACUGUAAAUGCAUUUGUA